GAAGCAGGACUGGCAUCGGGCUAUCUUCUCACCUACUCCACACUAUCAACACGUAUUCAUUUUCUUCUUUCUCUAGUCUUCUGGUCUUUUCGGAGCUCCCAGCCAUGGAAAGGAGCAAAAGGCUGAGCCAGAUUAGAUCCACUCCAUCUCAAGACAAGCCCGAGUCUCCCCUCGGUUUGCUACUUUGUGGUCCUCACCUCCACACGCACCUCGUGGCUGGGAUGAUGCUUGGAUCCCGGCCGGUGAACACGUAGCAGGGACCUAAUAGCAGCUGCGUGAUGGAGAACGCGAGGUCGUCGAACUCGACGAUGCCUUUCCCGUCAGCGUCCAUGGAGGCGAUGGAGUGGAUCUCGUUCCCUUAAGCUCCUGCGCAAUUUUGGGGAUCCUGGGAGGGUUAUCCGUCCCCAACCGUCGAGCUGCAGGCGUCGUUGCUGUUCCCAAGCGAGGCACCUGACGCAUCUUCUUCAUCCUCUACAGUAGCAGCCCGGCUUUGGCGUUGCAUUCUUCCACCUGCAAUAUACUUUAAGAUUGACUUCUUGUCCAUGUACCAAAUGAAGAUAGUAAGUUCUGGACGCCUAACGCCGCUUAAUGCAAAAUUUUAAUCAGUUUAUGUCCCCUCCACUUUUUUCGGGUUUGGGACUGGAAUAGGUAGUGUUCGACCCCCUACACCCAUUAAUUUUCAGCAAAUUAAGGAAAUAAUUAUUGUCUUUAUGUUUUAGUAAUUGAAUAGUAAAAUUAGGUCUGAUUGCUACAUAUAAUAGAUAAUGAUGCUAGGAUCCUCUCACCAUUGAAUUGUACUUUGUAAUAAGCUUGAAAUAUCAGAUGAUAUAGAGUGUUGAUGCUUGGCAUUCUUGAACUAUUUCCGUCAAAUGUUGAUGCAUGUUUCCAGUAAUUAUGCAGAGUAGUAGACCAUAUCCGUCCUAUCAUAUCUUGUUAGCAUAGAUAAUUCAGUUAUUAUUUUGAAGAUAGUUUGCAGUGUACUAUUUUUUCAGGUAUUUAUGGAUAUAUAAAAGGCUGGUAGCAUCCGUCUAGUUCACGGCGAUGGACAUGGCCUCUACACCGGCGAACAUUCAAGCCAAUACCCAUCUAGUUCGUAUGUAUGCAAGUAGCGCCACAUUUAAUAAAUCUUUGUUUCUGUCUGACCAAAGAGGGCAGGCCUGGCGCAGUGGUGAAGUCCUCCCCACUUGUGCCAAGAGGUCCUGGGUUCGAACCAGCCUCUCUGCAUUGCACUUUGCAGGGGUAAGACUAGGUUCCUAUAAUCCCUCCCCAGACCCCACCUUGUGUGGGAGCUUCUAUGCACUGGGUCUGUCCUUUUUCUGUCUGACCAAAUCCUUUGGUUUGUAUUGAUCAGUGUAUACAUGUCCUUGCCCUGAGUGCAUGUACCACUCUUAUAUUGUAAAUUCCCAAAGAGACAAUUGAUGACGGCACCUUAGAUUACAAAUUGAUAAUGUACAAUUAGUUAAGUGAAAUCGGUUCUGGCUCUCCAUGUUUCAUGGGGUGAAGCACAAUAUGUGUAAAGCCCUAUCGAGUUUUACCAUCUGAGCCACUUAGUACUGCGAUACAGUGGAGAUUCCAGCAAUCCUACAGUCCGUGGAUACUGCUAUUCAGUAGGUUAAUAGCGUGCCCCCCUUUUUAAAAAACCAUUUUAUUUGUUUUUAGUAACUUUAUUCCUUUUUGUAAUAUAUUUUGAGCUCUUCUUUAGAUAGCUAAUUCUUUGGUCUCAUUUAUUUGCUGUUUCUAUGAGUGUUUGUCCUCAUAUUUAGGUGAAAAUCCGAGUUGAAGAGGCGUGGGUCUAUCAUAAGGACCUGGUGAUUUUCAGGAAUGGAUAUGCGGAUCAUACAUGUUACGAAUCUACAUAACCUACCGAGUAUGCCUCUUUUUCGAUUCUAUUGUCGCCAUAAAGAAAAGCCUCCUUUUUCAAUUCUUUGUGAAAUUAAAAAAUAAGUGCAUAUGAGAAAGGAUGGUGUAAUAUCAAUAUAAUUUGCAUAAUUAAAUGUUAAGAUGAGAACGACUAAACAUUCAGUGUCUCCAAACUGGAUAAGUCUGCAUGCACACAUAGUAAGUUAAAUCCAUGUUCUCAUGGACUCUUAAAGUAAACACAAUUGUAUGCUAAUGCAGACUACUUCCAUGUUCUCAUGGCUUGAAGGGGAGCCUUGGCGCAGUGGUAAAGCUGCUGCCUUGUGACCAUGAGGUCAUGGGUUCAAGUCCUGGAAUAAGCCUCUUACAGAAAUGUAGGGAAAGGGUGCGUACUAUAGACCCAAAGUGGUCGGACCCUUCCCUGGACCCUGCGCAAGCGGGAGCUACAUGCACCAGGUUGCCCUUUUUUGCAGCCAAGGGGAUUAAGUUUGUAGUUUAGCACUUGCUAAUGCGUCAUCCUAGCCUGUGUUCCUUCCAGGUGCUUUCCUAAUCCUCUUGUCUUCUGUUGAUUCUUUUCUCUUAUUUUUGCAUUCUGUCCUUUUAUUUUUCGUUUUUUCCUUUAGAUUUUGAAUCCAUUCUCACUAAAAGUUGAAUGUGAAUAAUAUACUUUCCCUGCUAGGCAAACUUUAAUAGAAAACUAAUUGUGUUUAUAGAUGCAUAUGUGGCAUUAUAGCACCAAGCUGUUGGUGCAUGUCCGUUCAAACAUAAAAAAAGAACCUUCUUUCUUAGCUGAGAAUACCUCGUCAUUGGUACCAUCAAUGCUAAAAUGGUCAUGAUUUUUGUCAUGUCCUGCCAGUAAGGUAAGGUAGAAUACCAUAUAGUUUAAAAUAUAAAAUUGGACAUUUGUUUUUCUUAAAACAAAAAUUUAAAGUUUUGACAUGUGUAAAUUAUUUUUGCAGGUACAUGCAUUUAUUGGGUCCAAUAAUCACCCUGGUUAUCGAUAAACGAUUAGAAACAUUGGAUUUGGGGUAUUGCAAAAAUAGUUUAAAGUUCUCACCUUUGAUACUUGAAUAAAAUUGGAAGUGACAGUCAUGAUUGUUUUUUGUGCCAAACUUCCAUUUACCAUAUUUGCUAAAAUAUAUCCCCGUAGAGUGAUCCCUACCUUCUCACCACUGAAAGAAUUUGACCAUGUAAAAGUAAUGUAAAAAGUCAUACAUAAUUCUGAAAUUGCUUACAUAAUUGAAAUAACUUACAAUAGCAAAAGGACUUGCAUCUCGCAGAUGUUUGAAGUUUGCUCUCUGCUUGUCCGUCUGUUCUUCUGUACUUCCUCAAUUGGUUUCAUCAUGGUGAUACAUGCUGGAGAUAAUUUGAUGCACAUAUUACUUACUGGAGGUGGUGUGAUUGCUUGACGGAGCCGAUAACAGUCGAGGAGAGUCAACAGAGGAAACUGGGGCACUUGCAACUAUUGGAGGAAGGUGAUGUCCAAGUGCCGAUCGCUGGAGGAAGACGAUGACGAAGGUGGGCUCUGAAGGUGGGAUCCGACUUGUGGGGCGUGCUGAAACUGACUUGAUGCUAGCUUGUCAGCUAGUUUCAUCGCCCUGGCACCAUUGCUAACGUGAUUGCCAGAGUUCAUAAAUCACAACAUUACCUUCUCGCGGUAUCGCCUCGCCCUGAUUGCUCAAGGUAGUAGCCGCCUGCCUGGGACAACAAAUCAAUCUAAAGUUAGACUUUGUUCCCUUGGUGUUUUGGCAGCAAAAUAUCAUCAACCUCUUGGUUGUGAUGCUUUAAUUGUAAGUUACACUGCAUAUGUAGAGGCAACCUUCCAUUAUUAAUCUAUAAUUAUAAUAGUAACUUUGCACAUA